rnacentral:rRNA from 1 species
GAUGAACGCUGGCGGCGUGCCUAAUACAUGCAAGUCGAGCGAACAGAUGAGGAGCUUGCUCCUCUGACGUUAGCGGCGGACGGGUGAGUAACACGUGGAUAACCUACCUAUAAGGCUGGGAUAACUUCGGGAAACCGGAGCUAAUACCGGAUAAUAUAUUGAACCGCAUGGUUCAAUAGUGAAAGACGGUUUUGCUGUCACUUAUAGAUGGAUCCGCGCCGCAUUAGCUAGUUGGUAAGGUAACGGCUUACCAAGGCAACGAUGCGUAGCCGACCUGAGAGGGUGAUCGGCCACACUGGAACUGAGACACGGUCCAGACUCCUACGGGAGGCAGCAGUAGGGAAUCUUCCGCAAUGGGGGAAAGCCUGACGGAGCAACGCCGCGUGAGUGAUGAAGGUCUUCGGAUCGUAAAACUCUGUUAUUAGGGAAGAACAAAUGUGUAAGUAACUAUGCACGUCUUGACGGUAACUAAUCAGAAAGCCACGGCUAACUACGUG